rnacentral:rRNA from 1 species
CCUACGGGAGGCAGCAGUAGGGAAUUUUGCUCAAUGGGGGAAACCCUGAAGCAGCAACGCCGCGUGGAGGAUGAAGGUUUUCGGAUUGUAAACUCCUUUUGUUAGAGAAGAUAAUGACGGUAUGUAACGAAUCAGCACCGGCUAAUUCCGUGCCAGCAGCCGCGGUAAUACGGAGGGUGCAAGCGUUCCUCGGAAUCACUGGGCGUAAAGUGCGCGUAGGCGGGAUAGCAAGUCAGAUGUGAAAUCCUAUGGCUUAACCAUAGAACUGCAUUUGAAACUGUUAUUCUAGAGUAUGGGAGAGGUAGGUGGAAUUCUUGGUGUAGGGGUAGAAUCCGUAGAGAUCAAGAGGAAUACUCAUUGCGAAGGCGACCUGCUAGAACAUAACUGACGCUGAUGCGCGAAAGCGUGGGGAGCAAACAGGAUUAGAUACCCUGGUAGUC